GAGUUGCGAACGGGUGAGUAACGCGUAGGUAACCUGCCUGGUAGCGGGGGAUAACUAUUGGAAACGAUAGCUAAUACCGCAUAAAAGUCGACAUUGCAUGAUGUUGAUUUGAAAGGUGCAAUUGCAUCACUAAGAGAUGGACCUGCGUUGUAUUAGCUAGUUGGUGAGGUAACGGCUCACCAAGGCGACGAUACAUAGCCGACCUGAGAGGGUGAUCGGCCACACUGGGACUGAGACACGGUCCAGACUCC
rnacentral:rRNA from 1 species